CUUUUCCAAGAGGCUGCCGAAGAUGGCGGAGGUGCAGGUCCUGGUGCUUGAUGGUCGAGGCCAUCUCCUGGGCCGCCUGGCGGCCAUCGUGGCUAAACAGGUACUGCUGGGCCGGAAGGUGGUGGUCGUACGCUGUGAAGGCAUCAACAUUUCUGGCAAUUUCUACAGAAACAAGUUGAAGUACCUGGCUUUCCUCCGCAAGCGGAUGAACACCAACCCUUCCCGAGGCCCCUACCACUUCCGGGCCCCCAGCCGCAUCUUCUGGCGGACCGUGCGAGGUAUGCUGCCCCACAAAACCAAGCGAGGCCAGGCCGCUCUGGACCGUCUCAAGGUGUUUGACGGCAUCCCACCGCCCUACGACAAGGUGAGCUGUGCCAAACCCCACAGGCAGCGGCCUUACCUGUGGCGUCUGUGAUGUUCCGCAACUACCUACAUUGUUUGAUCCUCAUGAAAGCAGCACUGGCUGAGACGCCAGUCCAGCCGACCUCCUUCCCUGUCUGUCCCUCCCGGGCUCUUAAGCCCCUCUCUUUCUCUAACAGAAAAAGCGGAUGGUGGUUCCUGCUGCCCUCAAGGUCGUGCGUCUGAAGCCUACAAGAAAGGUGAGUCCCAGCUUAUGCUGCACCAUCUACUUGGGAGAUUUCAGGCCUGCUGAGGGACCUGGGGACCCGGAGCCUGGCAGAUGAUGUCCUUAUCUCACGAUGGUCUGCGGAUGUCCCUGCGGGAAUGGC
rnacentral:sRNA from 1 species